rnacentral:rRNA from 1 species
AAAGCACUUUCAGUCGUGAGGAAGGUGGUAGUGUUAAUAGCACUAUCAUUUGACGUUAGCGACAGAAGAAAGCACCGGCUAACUCCGUGCCAGCAGCCGCGGUAAUACGGAGGGUGCGAGCGUUAAUCGGAAUUACUGGGCGUAAAGACGCAUGCAGGUGGUUUGUUUAAGUUCAGAUGUGAAAGACCCGGGGCGUCAACCUCGGAAUAGCAUUUGAAACUAGGCAGACUAGAGUACUGUAGAGGGGGGUAGGAAUUUCAGGUGUAGCGGUGAAAUAGCGUAGAGAUCUGAAGGAAUACCGGUGGCGAAGGCGGCCCCCUCGGACAGAUACUGACACUCAGAUGCGAAAGCGUGGGGAGCAAACAGGAUUAGAUACCCUGGUAG